rnacentral:misc_RNA from 1 species
UGAAAUUGUACAGCAAAGCAUACCAUCAAUGCUAACUGCAAGGCCUUCAAUUGGUCCAAGAUGAGAUCUAAAAUGUUUUGCAAACUCGAUACCAGUAGGCUUUUUCUUCCAAAAUUUCAGGUGACCAUCAGUACUCCCACUAAUGAAAAAAUCUGCUGCUGAAACAGCAACAUGAGUAACCACGUCUCGGUGCAUGUAACUUUUUUCAUACAAGUUAGCAGACGGAAGUGAAUCGAGAUAAGCUUGCUCAAAUUGAAGAGGACGUUUAGCACGAGCACGAGGAGCUGGACCCGGUCCAAUAACCGUUUCGGUUUCCUCCACCACCGCCGCCGCCGGAUUUCCGUUCUCAUUCUGAUCUGCUUCCUCCAUCUCUCCCGUCGCCGUCGCCGGAUUUCCAAUCUCACUUCCGAUUUGCUGCAGAAAUUUGCUUUCUAAGUGAGAAGGAAAGUUUUUGUAAUUUUGAAAAGUGCUGAGCUUAUAAUGUAAACCAGAAAUGAGUCCCCGCCGAUUUGACUCAAAACCCG